rnacentral:rRNA from 1 species
ACAUACGCGUAGAGUUUGAUCAUGGCUCAGAUUGAACGCUGGCGGCAUGCCUUACACAUGCAAGUCGAACGGUAACAGGUUAAGCUGACGAGUGGCGAACGGGUGAGUAAUAUAUCGGAACGUGCCCAGUAGUGGGGGAUAGCCCGGCGAAAGCCGGAUUAAUACCGCAUACGACCUACGGGUGAAAGCGGGGGAUCGCAAGACCUCGCGCUAUAGGAGCGGCCGAUAUCAGAUUAGCUAGUUGGUGGGGUAAAAGCUCACCAAGGCGACGAUCUGUAGCUGGUCUGAGAGGACGACCAGCCACACUGGGACUGAGACACGGCCCAGACUCCUACGGGAGGCAGCAGUGGGGAAUUUUGGACAAUGGACGCAAGUCUGAUCCAGCCAUGCCGCGUGCGGGAAGAAGGCCUUCGGGUUGUAAACCGCUUUUAGUCAUGGGAAGAAAAGGCAUCCGAACUAAUAUUUUGGGGUGUAGUGACGGUACCUGAAGAAUAAGCACCGGCUAACUACGUGCCAGCAGCCGCGGUAA